AUGGAUAUACACCCGCAGGUAUUGUGCUGGAAUGUGAGGGGACUCAACAAUCCAGCCAAAAGGAAGGCCAUUAUGGAGUUUGUGGAAACGAUGAAAGUGAACUUGGUUUGCUUCCAAGAAAUCAAAAUGGUUGUAAUGGAUAAAUAUGUGGUAAUGCAAUGUUUAGGGCCAUAUUUUGAUGGCUUUGCGUAUGUGCUGGCGGUGGACACAUGUGGUGGAAUUUUAUUAGCUUGGGAUGGCUUGGUGCUAAAGGUGGAUAACAUCAUGCUUAACACUAACUUCCUCGUGGACUAG
rnacentral:rRNA from 1 species